AGAAUCAACGCUGGCGGCGUGCCUAACACAUGCAAGUCGAACGAGAAAGUGGAGCAAUCCAUUAGUAAAGUGGCGCACGGGUGAGUAACACGUGACUAACCUACCCUUGAGUGGGGGAUAACCUAGAGGAAAUCUGGGCUAAUACCGCAUAAUACCUUCGGGUCAAAGGAGCAAUUCGCUUAAGGAGGGGGUCGCGGCCGAUUAGUUAGUUGGCGGGGUAAUGGCCCACCAAGACUAUGAUCGGUA
rnacentral:rRNA from 1 species